CGUGAAUUACAUUCAAUUCUUCAUCCAUUUUCUCAGCACACUUUUUCUUUUAUUGAAUCAUGAGAAGUCAGAGAGUAUCCUGGCAGCAAUGGACACAUGUCUAUAAUUAACAUUAAAGAGGGACUUGGACAGCAUAUAGAUGAGCAGAUUUGUGGCAGAUCAAAUUUAAUCAGUACCGAGAAGACACCCAGUGAGGGCAACUGACUCUGCCCCUUCCUGUCUCCUGCCUUUUAAAGAUGCCGCUACCCAGAGGAUGUGGCCGGUAUUAGAACAACUGGAUAAAGAAAGGAGCACCAAAACUUGAAUGAGUAAAGGGAAAGAAACAGCUUGUUCGAUGUGCUUUUUAAUGCUUUAUGUAGAGGUGUGCAUUGUGAACUUUUUUUUGUUGUGUGAUACAUUUUUUAAACAGGGUUGGAAUCCUAACAUUUUCAUGUGGGACCCUUCCGUGCCUUAUUCAACCACAUAUUCUAAUAUUAUUAUAGAAAUAAGGGGUUCGCCCCCUGCUCGCUAUGCACCAGCCUUUAGCGUCUCUGCUGCUCACAUUGUGAAGAGGGGGGCUGAACGCACCCCAAGGAGACGCGGUUGCUCCUCCGAAACCCCCUCUUAAACGAUGAUACAAUGGCAAAUAAAUAAAGUUUUUUUUUACCUCCUCUUUGCUUGCUGCUGCUGCCGUGCCACGUGAUCUGCAUCUCGCACACCGCUUCGAACAUUUAAAAGCCUGUACAGCAGCUGUCCUACUCUUUGCCUUUUAUUUCCGGCUCCGGGCGUGGUUAAAUCUCUUGGCACAAAGUCUUGUCUUGCUGAACAUGAGUUCUUGAUAUUUUUUAGUCUAUAAUUUAAAAACGGAAUAAAAAUCUGAAAAUCUAACAACAUCACGUUAAAGUGUGAUAAAUUCUGAAAAGAAUGAUACCCAACAUAUAUAUGUAGGUUUUAAAAUAAGCCAAUUUAAAGUGUGACAAAAAGCGUGACAUAAAAUCGUUGCACUGUUAGGCUUAGGAUUUUAUAUAUAGAGAGAGCAGAUAUACGCAUCUUUUAAAGAUAUUUGCUAUUUGUUUAUUCAUUGAUUUAAUAAAGAUUCACCUUUUUUAAAAUAUCAAUUAAUUUACUUAAUACACGUUUCAUAUUAUUGGAUUGCAAAUGAAAAGGGAACAAUACCUUAAGUAUAAUAAAAACAUUUGCAUUAGGCAUAAAACAACCCCCUCAUGCACAUGCAGAGCCACAUUUUAGGGAUCUAAGAUAGGAAACCCACAUAGACAAUGAAGUGCGGGGCAGAAAUCAAGGGUGCUAGACCCGAAAAACUGCAAAGCUAACCACUGUGCCACUGUUUCACCCUGUAAUAUAAUAUAAUAUGAUGCAACAUAAUAUACAGUGAAUUUAGAAAGUAUUUAGAACACUUUACUGUUUUUCCCAUUUAGCUAGGUUGCAGCCUUGUGUUAAAAUACCUUUGAUUUAAAAAAUGUAAAGUUACCUAAAGUUGAAUACAAAAUUGCCUGCAUGUAGUAAACAUAAAAUGGUAUUCUUUUUAGGAGCAAUUUCUGUAAAAUUGGUGUUUUUGUACCUUCAGAAACUCUUUACUGAAAAAUAAUGGUUGUUUGCAUUAAUUUUAGUGAAGUUACAGAGUAUUAAAAAACCUCUUUCACUAUAAUGUGAUUUAAAUGGGUCAGUGGAAGGGGUCUAAAAGGUAUAUAAUUUGUCAAUAUUUCAGUGUGAAUUUUUACCUUGCCAAAUGUUUUUUUUUUGCUUUUUGUCAUGAAAUAUUUAUCAAAAAAUGUUAAAGUAUUAGACUACUAUAAUUUGUAGUUUAUUGGCAAAGCAGUGUGCAGUUAUAAGCAUUUUUGAACCACAUCUCCUGCGCAUUCUUAUAAAGUACAGUUAUGUACCUUUGGCAAUUUCAGGGCUUCCAGGAUUUCAUACUGUAGCAAGAAAUAUUUAGAUGUCAUUUCUGUUAUGGUGUAUUACUUGAAACCAUCUGCCAGUUUUCCACUGUAAAACAAGUUUGUUUUCUGCAGUGCAUACAGUGGCUGGGGUUCAAACCCAGUCUACCAACAAUACUAUUCUGUAUCUGGCCUGAAAUUAUGUUAUAUUGUAUUACUAACGUAUAUAAUAUUAGAUUACAGUGAAUUCAGAAAGUAUUCAGACCCCUUCCUUCUUUUACAUUUUUCUCUGUUGCAGCCUUGUAAUGAUUUACAUUCAUUUUUUCACACAUCAAGCAACACUCCAGAAUGAAAAAUCAAAAACAGGAUUUUCGAAGCUUUUGACAUCCUUUAACUUCACCCAAAUGAACGCAAUAAUCAUUUUUCAAUAAUUUAAAAAACAUGCCACUUCAUGUUUCCUACAUAUAUGAAUUUUUCUGUUGGUUGAACUUAAGGUAAAUCGACAUUUUUUAAGUCAAGGUAUUUUGCCUUCACCAUUCACAGACAAUUUCACAGUUCAUUUCCAUGUUCUGUCUAAGGCUGUUGGAGUCCUCUGGGAUUUCUGUGUUUUCCUUUCUCAUCCUUAGAAAUACUUAUUAGGUUAAUUGAUGUCUCUUAAUUGGUUCAGCAGGAGUGGACACGGCAGUGUCCAGGGCUGCUUUCUGCCUUACAUGCAAUCCUACUCUGAAGGUUGAUGGACAUGUAUUCAAUACAUUAAGCAAACAAAUAAGAGAAUGAUUAAUAUAAUAUCUAUUCAAUUUCAAUUUGUUCACUGAACACACUUUCUCAUUACAGAAGCAUAGCAAGCAGUGGGCUAUUUCAGCAGAAUCUCACUCAAGACAGAAUUUAAACCUGGAUAAAAACACAGAGUGUCUCCCAGCAAAGACUAACCCUAACCCUUUGAUGACAUGUUGGCCACAGCCAUCAGCAGUGUGUCUGUCUCUAGAGAGAAUGUGGAACUCGUUGUGAGGUUUACUUACCUUAGCAGUGACUUUUCCUAUGAAGUCAGUAGACGGAUUGGGAGAGCAUGGGGGGUCAUGAGGACGCUGGAAAGGGAUGUGUGCUGCUCCUGAUAUCUCUGUAAAAGGACAAAGGUCCAAGUGUUUAGAGCUAUAUGGUUGUGAGACUUGGAUCCUGUAAAGUGACCUGAGACAAAGACUGGACUGCUUCGGUACUGUGUCUCUUUGGAGAAUCCUUGGGUACCGCUAGUUUGACUUUUGUGUUUAACGAGAAGUUGCUCACGGUGUUAUGUACUACAAUCAUGUGAUUCCAGCUGCAGGAUCCUUAUUGCUGAGGACCCGAGUGGCCAGGCCAAGGAAAUGCCAACGUAACACCUGACUGCGGCAGAUAGAUGGUCAUUUCCAGAGGGUGGGACUGGACCGCAUGUCUGCCUGUGGGGUUGCCAAGCUGUUGCAGCAAUGUGCUGUACCAAUGCAUGCUCCCCAACCUGACCUGACCUCUCUCACAUCACAGAUACACACACAUACACAAUUAUCUAUACCAGAACAAUUUAGAAUCAACAUCCAUUCAUUGACAAACUCACUUAAUCUACAGUACUUCAGGAUUGAGGGUGCUGCAACCUGUCAUGAUCUUGAUCAUUAGAUUAGUUUUUUCCAACUGUUCUUUUCCUCUAAAAAUUAUUUAAUUAUGUUUUUUCUUGUUUCUGAGGCUAAUGAAUCUAGUGGUUAAGUUCAUCUUUUGCUUCCAUGUGUUUUGCAUCUUCUUUUUCCUUAUGGACACAGUCAUGUUGGAGAUUGGCUGCUAGGGUGUGAAU